rnacentral:rRNA from 1 species
CCUACGGGAGGCAGCAGUGGGGAAUAUUGCACAAUGGGCGAAAGCCUGAUGCAGCGACGCCGCGUGAGGGAUGACGGCCUUCGGGUUGUAAACCUCUUUCAGCAGGGAAGAAGCGCAAGUGACGGUACCUGCAGAAGAAGCACCGGCUAACUACGUGCCAGCAGCCGCGGUAAUACGUAGGGUGCGAGCGUUGUCCGGAAUUAUUGGGCGUAAAGAGCUCGUAGGCGGUCUGUCACGUCGGAUGUGAAAGCCCGGGGCUUAACCCCGGGUCUGCAUUCGAUACGGGCAGACUAGAGUGUGGUAGGGGAGAUCGGAAUUCCUGGUGUAGCGGUGAAAUGCGCAGAUAUCAGGAGGAACACCGGUGGCGAAGGCGGAUCUCUGGGCCAUUACUGACGCUGAGGAGCGAAAGCGUGGGGAGCGAACAGGAUUAGAUACCCUGGUAGUCCACGCCGUAAACGUUGGGAACUAGGUGUUGGCGACAUUCCACGUCGUCGGUGCCGCAGCUAACGCAUUAAGUUCCCGCCUGGGGAGUACGGCCGCAAGGCUAAAACUUACGAAAGUAGUACGGCGUGAGAACGUAGCGACGAAGCCACCGAGGAGGUAAGG